GUCCAGACUCCUACGGGAGGCAGCAGUGGGGGAUAUUGCACAAUGGGGGGAACCCUGAUGCAGCGACGCCGCGUGGGUGAAGGAGUAUUUCGGUAUGUAAAGCCCUAUCGGCAGGGAAGAAGCAAGACGGUACCUGACUAAGAAGCCCCGGCUAACUACGUGCCAGCAGCCGCGGGAAUACGUAGGGGGCGAGCGUUAUCCGGAUUUACUGGGUGUAAAGGGGGCGCAGACGGCAAUGCAAGCCAGGAGUGAAAGCCCGGGGCCCAACCCCGGGACUGCUCUUGGAACUGCAUGGCUGGAGUACAGGAGGGGCAGGCGGAAUUCCUAGUGUAGCGGUGAAAUGCGUAGAUAUUAGGAGGAACACCGGUGGCGAAGGCGGCCUGCCGGACUGUGACUGACGUUGAGGCCCGAAGGCGUGGGGAGCAAACAGGAUUAGAUACCCGGGUA
rnacentral:rRNA from 1 species